rnacentral:rRNA from 1 species
AACGAACGCUGGCGGCGUGCCUAACACAUGCAAGUCGAACGUGAUUGGGGAGCUUGCUCCUCAUGAAAGUGGCGCACGGGUGAGUAACGCGUAGAUAAUCUACCUGAUGAUUCGGGAUAACACUUCGAAAGGGGUGCUAAUACGGGAUAAGCCCACGGAGUCUUUGGACACUGCGGGAAAAGGAGGGGACCUUCGGGCCUUCCGACAUCAGAUGAGUCCGGGUCCCAUUAGCUAGUUGGUGGUGUAAUGGACCACCAAGGCGAUGAUGGGUAGCUGUGCUGCGAGGAUGAUCAGCCACACUGGAACGGGGACACGGUCCAGACUCCUACGGGAGGCAGCAGUGGGGAAUUUUGCGCAAUGGGGGAAACCCUGACGCAGCAACGCCGCGUGAGUGAUGAAGGCCUUUGGGUCGUAAAGCUCUGUCAGAGGGAAAGAAAUGUGGGUGGCUAAUAACCAUUCCACUUGACGGUACCCUCAAAGGAAGCACCGGCUAACUCCGUGCCAGCCGCCGCGGUAAUAC